GCUCAUUAAGUCACAUGUGAAAUCCCCGGGCUUAACCUGGGAACUGCAUGCGAUACUGGUGGUGCUAGAAUAUGUGAGAGGGAAGUAGAAUUCCAGGUGUAGCGGUGAAAUGCGUAGAGAUCUGGAGGAAUACCGAUGGCGAAGGCAGCUUCCUGGCAUAAUAUUGACACUGAGAUUCGAAAGCGUGGGUAGCAAACAGGAUUAGAUACCCUGGUAGUCCACGCCGUAAACGAUGUCUACUAGCCGUUGGGGUCCUUGAGACUUUAGUGGCGCAGUUAACGCGAUAAGUAGACCGCCUGGGGAGUACGGCCGCAAGGUUAAAACUCAAAUGAAUUGACGGGGGCCCGCACAAGCGGUGGAGCAUGUGGUUUAAUUCGAUGCAACGCGAAGAACCUUACCUGGUCUUGACAUAGUGAGAAUCCUGCAGAGAUGCGGGAGUGCCUUCGGGAAUUCACAUACAGGUGCUGCAUGGCUGUCGUCAGCUCGUGUCGUGAGAUGUUGGGUUAAGUCCCGCAACGAGCGCAACCCUUUUCCUUAUUUGCCAGCGGGUUAAGCCGGGAACUUUAAGGAUACUGCCAGUGACAAACUGGAGGAAGGCGGGGACGACGUCAAGUCAUCAUGGCCCUUACGACCAGGGCUACACACGUGCUACAAUGGUAGGUACAGAGGGUUGCUACACAGCGAUGUGAUGCUAAUCUCAAAAAGCCUAUCGUAGUCCGGAUUGGAGUCUGCAACUCGACUCCGUGAAGUCGGAAU
rnacentral:rRNA from 1 species